GAUGAACGCUAGCUACAGGCUUAACACAUGCAAGUCGAGGGGCAGCAUUAUCUUAGCUUGCUAAGAUAGAUGGCGACCGGCGCACGGGUGAGUAACACGUAUCCAACCUUCCGGUUACUCGGGGAUAGGCUUUCGAAAGAAAGAUUAAUACCCGAUGUUGCGUAUCUUUCUCCUGAAAGAUACGCCAAAGGAUUCCGGUAACCGAUGGGGAUGCGUUCCAUUAGGCAGUUGGCGGGGUAACGGCUUACCAAGACUACGAUGGAUAGGGGGACCGAGAGGUUGACCCCCCACACUGGUACUGAGAUACGGACCAG
rnacentral:rRNA from 1 species